rnacentral:misc_RNA from 1 species
AAAAAAAAAAAAAAAUUGAGCAUUCAGUUUAUGUGACUAAAUCUUUAUAUAAGGUUUUAGGAUAUGUAGUUAAUUUCCACAAACUACAGAAAAAUUGCUUUGUUCGCUGUUCAAAGAUACGCAUCAGGGCAUAAAUAAAAACAGUAUUCAAGGCCUAAUUAAAUUAUUGCAACACUGACAGAAUGCUGUUCAGAAAAAUGCUUGUGGUUUAACACUUUGACACUCUAAGGGAUGGAAAAAUCUUUUACACCAGUUUAGUACCAUGAGAUUUCAUCUA